rnacentral:rRNA from 1 species
AUGUUGCAGGAGGAUGUGGGUAUUGAUGAAGAUGUGAACCAUCGAAUCAAAGCCGGAUGGAUGAAGUGGCGCCAAGCUUCUGGCAUUCUCUGUGACAAGAGAGUGCCACAAAAGCUAAAAGGCAAGUUCUACAGGACGGUGGUUCGACCCGCAAUGUUGUAUGGCGCGGAGUGUUGGCCGACUAAAAGGCGACAUGUUCAACAGUUAGGUGUGGCGGAGAUGCGUAUGUUGAGAUGGAUGUGUGGCCACACGAGGAAGGAUCGAGUCCGGAAUGAUGAUAUACGAGAUAGAGUUGGGGUAGCACCAAUUGAGGAGAAGCUUGUCCAACAUCGUUUGAGAUGGUUUGGGCAUAUUCAACGCAGGCCUCCAGAAGCUCCAGUGCAUAGCGGACGGCUAAAGCGUGCGGAGAAUGUCAAGAUAGGGCGGGGUCGACCGAUUUUGACAUGGGAGGAGUCCGUUAAGAGAGACCUAAAGGAUUGGAGUAUCGACAAAGAGCUAGCUAUGGACAGGGGUGCGUGGAAGCUUGCUAUCCAUGUGCCAGAGCCAUGA